CAAGGCCUUACAAUGUGCCUGUGACUUUUUGAAAGAUCUCCUAGCUUCAAACCACAGACAACUUCCCUGCUAUGCAUCACUGAGUCUCUCUGCUCCCAGAUAUUUUCAUCCAAGGUCCUAAAAGUGGUGACAAGUCCGCAAUGUCAUGCCUGAAUAUUACUUGACUGAGCAAAAGGAUAAUGGGAUACUUCCCCCAUGUCUUGGAAUGAAGAGGAAACCAAUUAGCUGAGAGGACACCAAGCAUCAGCUGAAUAAAAAUGGAGCAAGUUGGACAGCACCCAGGCAGGGAUGCACAGGAGGAAGAUGUGCAGCACCAAACACAUCAGGAGGACAGCAGUGUUUGAGAGGCUUAGAUCAAGCAGCUGACAAGUUAAAGGUCUCAGGAUGGAUGGAGAUUAACUGAGACUGAAGAGAGCUCAGCAUCCAGCAAUGAGUACCAGAUGCUGGAGAGCUGCUUCGGUCACUGGUGAUUCCAGGAGAGCCCUGACUCUGCCAUGGCCUCCUGACAAGGCAGAGCUCAGCCUGCCUGGUCCCAGGGGCUGUGGCUGAUCCCAGACUGCAGAGCUACACUGCUGCUGGGUAACAGAGAGGAGCAGCAGCAUUUGGGACACAUCAGGAUCCAAGGAGUAACGCCCCCAUGGGUCACUGUCUGAUGACAGCUCCAUCCAUCACAUCCCAUCAGUCUGUUAUUGCCUAGAGGUCUUGAUUCAAUAAAAGCAGUAAAAAAGAAA